ACUCUCUCUUCUGUCUCUCCCCUCUCUCUCUCUUUCUCUCUCUCUCUCUCUCACUGCUCUUGGGCUUCACUGCUUCAAAUCUCUUGCAGUGCAACAAAGUGCUUCCUCAAAACUUCAACAUUCUCACUCAAUCCAUUCCCUCUCUCUGAAGCUCUAGUUCACGUGCCAUGGCUGCAAACGCCCAUAUCACCAUGAAAGUGAGCUUAUCGCUCGGAAGCUGUUGGAAACUUGGAAUCAACCCGCAAUUCAUUACAUUUACUCAUGUGACUAUGGAAUCAGAUAAUUAUUAAUUACAUAUGUAUCAGGGAAAUCAGAAAUGGCACCCCAUAAGAGUGUUGUUACUUGUUACUCGUUGUCAUUGAUAUGAGCAUGCCAAUUCAGCAUUUGAGACGGCCCGUAACUUCUGAUUCUGUUUUGGUGAACCCGAAUUCCAGAAUUCUUGGCCUUAUAGGUAACAUUGCAGGCUCUGAUUUGUGUUAGUAGCUCCCAGUGGCAGCUGAUGUACUAUGGUUAUGUGGUUUUGGCAAGAACCAAAAUGAUGGUGUAGUGAUGUCCCAAUCCGUAAGUCAUUUGUGGGCAUUUAUGAUGGUUAAGGAACAUUUAAGGUCAUGUUAUUGUCAUAGUGAAUGAUUUUGGAGAACUGCAGCAUGUGUACCUAUGGGUUUUGUUCUCUCAUGAAUGUGAGGUUGAGGUUGAGGUUCUAUAUGCAGCUCAAGUUCCAGGGACCCCUCAGGAUCAUUUGCAAGUAUUUAACAUUGUAGCGAAAACAAAUAUGAAUUCACACCAGAUGAUCAAGAAGGUGCAGAUUUGUAAAUCAUUUAGGCCUGUCCAAGGUUUUAAAUUGUGGUUUGUGGCCUUGUUGUAGGUUGAUGUGGGCGAGUUGGAGCUGACGCUGUCCACUAUCACUGCUUGGGGAAAUUGCAGUAGCCACCACAACUGAGAUGUUGUAGCCAGCUCUCCACAUCAUGUGAUGCAGUCAGCAGUUUAAAACCUUGGAUAUGGCCUUAUUGUCUUUUGGAGGUGGAUAACUCGAAACACAAUAGGCAUUGUCACUCAGACGCUGUGUAUCAUUGGUCAGUUGAAGGUGAUAGUGUGCCGGUGAAGAUGUUUGGCCGAACAGCUAAUCUGGCAGAUAACCAGAUUAUCAAUUAUCGUUGUGAUCCUAUUGAAAAGGGCUGGUUUUGAUUGGAGUUGCCCCUGGUUCACCUGAGCUAUGAAGCAUGAAUAUGUCUACUUCUUGAAGUAUUGGAGUAUCGGUCACGCAUUUGAUGUUGGCACCUGUAUGAUACGUGUUUGACACUUCUCAUUAGGUGUCCAAUUAAGGAGGCAGAGCUUAUGACUGGAAAUCAAAAUUUUAUGAUGCUGAAAAGACAAAGAACUUUGGAAUGGAGGCCAAAGUUCCAGAUGCAGGGCCAUUGAUUAAUGUCAAUCCAGGAAAUGCUCCUCUAAUUGUGGGGCAACUGUUAGAUGAUGAUUUCCCUGAAGAUUUCAUUAAGGGUCUUAUACUUUCAGUUCAUUCUCUUCUUCUAGUUGACCUUUUGUUGAAGAAUGUGAGAAGAGGAAUCGUCUCUGCUUGUUACUCAGUUCCUGGAGCAUCCUGUAAGUGAGGGAAGCCAAGAUGUGCAUGAUCCCAAACAUUUUCUGACAACCAACCCAUACUAUGAUUCUUGAGUUGUUAAAUAUUGUGAGAAAUGGGAUCCUACACUUGCCGUUGUUGCUUACUAAAGGGGGCUAUGUGAUGAUGAGCUUGUUAACAUUACCAAUAAAAUUCCUUGUUCAAACUCCAAGGCAGAUAUGUGUGGAACGGGUGGACGCUGACCUCUGGGAGAAAGUCCUAACUCCUGAGAAUGAGUUCCGAAGGCAAUUGAUUGAUCAAGUGGUGUCCACUGCUUUACCUGAAAGCAAGAGUCCAGAUCAGAUUUCAGCGGCAGUGAAAGCGUUCAGGACUGCUGAUCUUCCCCAUGAGUUGAUUGAACUUCUUGAAAAGUUUGUGCUACAAAACUAUGUUAUAGCGGAAACUUUAAACUGCAAAAUUUGCUGAUCCUUACUGCAAUGAAGGCAGAUCCACCAAGAGUUAUGGAUUACAUAAGUAGGCUGGACAUUUCUUAUGGUCCUGCUAUUGGGGAGGUGGCAGUGGAAGAACUGCUAUAUGAAGAAGCUUUUUCCAUUUUCAAGAAAUUUAAUUUGAAUGUUCAGGCUGUUAAUGUGCUUUUAGAUAACCUUCGGACCAUUGAUUGAGCUGUGGAGUCUGGGAUUCGAGUUGAAGAAGAUGCGGUGUGGAGCCAGGUGGCUAAGGAACAACUAAGAGAAGGCUUAGUAUGUGACACAAUUGAGUCAUUCUUCCGUGCAGAUGAUGCCACUCACUUCUCACUCACUUCUUAGAGGAUUUAAGGGCUUCUGAAGAUUCAGAUGUGUACCAUGACCAAGUAAGGUACCUUCUCAUAUUUAGGCAGAAGACCAAAGAGCCCAAAGUGGACAGUGAGCUCAUUUAUGCAUAUGCAAAGAUUGAUCGGCUUGGAGAAAUUGAUGAGUUUAUUUUGAUGCCAAAUGUUGCUUAUUUAUCAAAUGUUGUAGACCUCAUAUAUGAUGAGACUCUAUGUAUAAGGCUGCAAAAAUUAUAUUUGCUUUUAUUUCCAACUGCGCUAAGUUAGCAGUAACA